rfam:Paenisporosarcina sp. HGH0030 genomic scaffold acAqH-supercont1.1, whole genome shotgun sequence.
AUUCAUCUUCGGGGCAGGGUGAAAUUCCCGAUCGGCGGUAAUAGAAGAACGUUUUCUUAAGCCCGCGAGCCGUAAGGCAGGAUUUGGUGUGAUUCCAAAGCCGACAGUAUAGUCUGGAUGGGAGAAGGUGAAG